UGGGGAAUAUUGCACAAUGGGCGAAAGCCUGAUGCAGCGACGCCGCGUGCGGGAUGAAGGCCUUCGGGUUGUAAACCGCUUUUAAUUGGGAGCAAGCGAGAGUGAGUGUACCUUUUGAAUAAGCACCGGCUAACUACGUGCCAGCAGCCGCGGUAAUACGUAGGGUGCAAGCGUUAUCCGGAAUUAUUGGGCGUAAAGAGCUCGUAGGCGGUUUGUCACGCCUGGUGUGAAAGUCCAUCGCUUAACGGUGGAUCUGCGCCGGGUACGGGCAGGCUAGAGUGCAGUAGGGGAGAUUGGAAUUCCCGGUGUAACGGUGGAAUGUGUAGAUAUCGGGAAGAACACCAAUGGCGAAGGCAGAUCUCUGGGCUGUUACUGACGCUGAGGAGCGAAAGCAUGGGGAGCGAACAGGAUUAGAUACCCUGGUAGUCCAUGCCGUAAACGGUGGAUGCUGGAUGUGGGACCCUUCCACGGGUUCCGUGUCGGAGCUAACGCGUUAAGCAUCCCGCCUGGGGGAGUAC
rnacentral:rRNA from 1 species